rnacentral:rRNA from 1 species
GAAUAUUGGACAAUGGGCGCAAGCCUGAUCCAGCCAUGCCGCGUGAGUGAUGACGGCCUUAGGGUUGUAAAGCUCUUUCGGCGGGGACGAUAAUGACGGUACCCGCAGAAGAAUCCCCGGCUAACUUCGUGCCCGCAGCCGCGGUAAUACGAAGGGGGCUAGCGUUGUUCGGAAUCACUGGGCGUAAAGGGCGCGUAGGCGGCUUUAUAAGUCGGGGGUGAAAGCCUGUGGCUCAACCACAGAAUUGCCUUCGAUACUGUAGAGCUUGAGACCGGAAGAGGUAAGUGGAACUGCGAGUGUAGAGGUGAAAUUCGUAGAUAUUCGCAAGAACACCAGUGGCGAAGGCGGCUUACUGGUCCGGUUCUGACGCUGAGGCGCGAAAGCGUGGGGAGCAAAC